rnacentral:rRNA from 1 species
GGAAAGAUGAAAAGAACUUUGAAAAGAGAGUUAAACAGUACGUGAAAUUGUUGAAAGGGAAACGAUUGAAGUCAGUCGUGCUGGCGCGAAAUCAACCCUCUCGUCUUGAGAUCACAUGGCGCGACGAGCCUCAAAACCGUCACGAAGCGUGAUCGCUUGACGAAAAGGUGCACUUUCGUGUCCGCUGGUUAACAUCAAUUUCGAUCGUCAUAAAAAGGCUGGAGGGAUGUGGCUCCUUCGGGAGUGUUAUAACCUUUAGCGGAAUGUGGUGGUUGGGAUUGAGGAUUGCAACGAAUACCUUCGGGGCUGUUCCACCUGGCUUCUCAUUGGUAUCCUGGUGACGACAGCUUGCUGACGUCGUUAGGAUCAGCUUCUGAACAGGCUAGAGUGUGAGCAAAUUCGUUAAGGAUGUUAACGUAAUGGCUUUAAACGACCCGUCUUGAAACACGGACCA